rnacentral:rRNA from 1 species
AGAAUCAACGCUGGCGGCGUGCCUAACACAUGCAAGUCGCACGAGAAAGGGUAGCAAUACCUGAGUACAGUGGCGCACGGGUGAGUAACACGUGAAUAAUCUACCUCCGAGUGGGGAAUAACUGAGAGAAAUCUUAGCUAAUACCGCAUAACACUUACGAGUCAAAGCAGCAAUGCGCUUGGAGAGGAGUUCGCGGCCGAUUAGUUAGUUGGCGGGGUAAUGGCCCACCAAGACGAUGAUCGGUAUCCGGCCUGAGAGGGCGCACGGACACACUGGAACUGAAACACGGUCCAGACUCCUACGGAGGCAGCAGUGGGGAAUUUUGCGCAAUGGGGGAAACCCUGACGCAGCAACGCCGCGUGGAGGAUGAAGCCCCUUGGGGUGUAAACUCCUUUCGAUCGGGAAGAUAAUGACGGUACCGAUAUAAGAAGCCCCGGCUAACUUCGCGCCAGCAGCCGC